CCAUGAUUCUAUUCAACCACAUCCAGUUUAAUUUUAGUGACUUUUCUACAGAUACCUUGUUGCAUCACCAUUUUAUGUGUUCCAGUCUUUAUAGUUAUACAAUAGAUAAUUUUAUCAAAAUCUCUUGCAUUGUGCAAAGCUCCCACUUUAUGGAAACCCAUAAUGCUUUACUCUUAGUACAAAUAAAAAGCUUAUUUCUGGCAAAUAACAGAUUGUGCAGGAGAUAUUUUCCCAAUUGAUUAUUACUUUGCUUUCUUUCAUCUUGAAUUCAUUUUCUCAGAACUGUCUCAUAGAGGCAGCAAUCUGACUUUUCUCCAUACUGUAUCUUUCAUUUUCUCAGAGCUGCAUGGCUUUAUCUAAGCUGGAAAGUAAUUUGUUAUGAGAUGUGAUAAUAAUUUAAUACAUUUGAAAUUUGGUAGCAGCUGUAUCGAAGCAGUUUCCAGUAGACUAUUUCCCACUGACUCCAUUCCCAUCUCAUCUCCCAAGUUAUGUUUGAUUCAGAAGCUAGCAAGGCUGCCCAGCACCUUUAUGCAAGCUGUAUUAAGCCUCCAAAACCUGAAAAGUGGGUGAUGAAUGUCAAGUGGAAUUGACUUCCAGGAAAAUCAAAAUGCUACUUUAAAGUACAGCGUUUGACAUCAAAACCGUAGGUACAGAUUUAUGCUAACCUUCAAACUCUGUACACACAAGGGAGCUGAAGGGCACAGAGGGGGACCUUCUGGGAAUAUUGCAACCUAAUUUAGGGUGCUAGGGAAUACUUCUACUAAGGCGGGUCACUUUGGAAGGGAAGACUGGCAGAAGGUCCUCCCUGGCUCCAAUCUCCAUAGGGUCUUUGGUUCUGAAGGCCCCUUUCACACAAGCCAGUCUAAGGACAGUAACGGGCCUUUCCACUGAAGUCAAUCAGGAUGCCAAAUUGGCUUUUCCCCCCGCCCCCCACAGCCUCUGCAAGGCAGCCAGGUGAAGCUUCAGUGGAAGGCCGGGAGGAGGACACUGUUUUUCACGCCCAGCAGGCCGCCGGACCCCUAGCGAGGCUUCUCCCGCUCUCCCCCCCUUCCCUCCCCUCCUUCCUCGACUCGAGGCUGCCGGGUUGCAGGAAGGGAGCAUGUGAUCGCUCGCGGGUCUUGAAUUCGCUCGCCUUGCCAUGGUGUGGCAGCAGCGCGGAGCUCAACGGAGACUGCUUGAGAGACCGGACUGGGCGGCUGCUCCUCCGCUGCUUAUUGGAUCCAUCGCAAGCAGGAACGCCCGACUGAUAUUCCCGUCGCCAAAUCAAGGAUCUCCAACAAGCUGGAAACAUAACCAUUAACUGGUACUCCCUAAGGAUUGUAUGCAAAAUUCUGAUAUUUGGAAGAAGCCUGAGUGAGGAAUAUAAGAAGAUUACAUUGACAGCGAUAAGAAAAAGGGCAGCAAAUUUCAGCCUUUCAAAAAGUUUUUUGGAAGGAGAAAAAAACGGGAGACCACACCAGAUCGUGAGGCCACCAAGUUGAAGGCAAGCAGUUCCUUUGGAAAUGUCUGUAAUGGUGCACUGUCUUCUGAUGAAGAGACCAACAAUGGCUUGAGGUCCUCCAAUUAUAGCAUGGGAACACGGGCCUUUUCCCAUGACAGUAUUUUUAUGCCUGAUGGGCGAGCAGAGAGUGAAGAGUCCAUUCAAGCAAUGUCACAAGAUAAUCUCGUUGGCAAAGUCAAAACUCUUCAGCAACAGUUGGCCAAGAAUAUUAAAUUUGGCCAACCCUCACAAAUGACAGUAUCUGUGAAGGCAACUGGGGAGGCUAGUGCAAGUUUGGAAGCAGAUGUGUUGCUGAAUAACCCCAUGGAGACAGUGAUGCCAUCAGAUGUGGUCCUUCCAGAGAACCACCGUAAAGUAAG